GAACGCUGGCGGCAUGCCUUACACAUGCAAGUCGAACGGCAGCACGGGUGCUUGCACCUGGUGGCGAGUGGCGAACGGGUGAGUAAUACAUCGGAACGUACCUUAUCGUGGGGGAUAACGCAGCGAAAGCUGUGCUAAUACCGCAUACGCCCUGAGGGGAAAGCGGGGGAUCGAAAGACCUCGCGCGAUUAGAGCGGCCGAUGCCUGAUUAGCUUGUUGGUGGGGUAAAAGCCCACCAAGGCGACGAUCAGUAGCUGGUCUGAGAGGACGAUCAGCCACACUGGGACUGAGACACGGCCCAGACUCCUACGGGAGGCAGCAGUGGGGAAUUUUGGACAAUGGGGGCAACCCUGAUCCAGCCAUGCCGCGUGAGUGAAGAAGGCCUUCGGGUUGUAAAGCUCUUUCGGCCGGGAAGAAAUCGCAUGGGUUAAUACCCUGUGCGGAUGACGGUACCGGCAUAAGAAGCACCGGCUAACUACGUG
rnacentral:rRNA from 1 species